GACGAACGCUGGCGGCGUGCUUAACACAUGCAAGUCGAACGGUGAGGCCUUUCGGGGUACACGAGUGGCGAACGGGUGAGUAACGCGUGAGUAACCUGCCCUUCACUCUGGGAUAACAGUUGGAAACGGCUGCUAAUACCGGAUAUUCAGCUCCUGUCGCAUGGUGGGGUUGGAAAGUUUGGUGGUGGAGGAUGGGCUCGCGUCCUAUCAGCUUGUUGGUGGGGUGAUGGCCUACCAAGGCGUCGACGGGUAGCCGGCCUGAGAGGGCGACCGGCCACAUUGGGACUGAGAUACGGCCCAAACUCCUACGGGAGGCAGCAGUGGGGAAUAUUGCACAAUGGGCGGAAGCCUGAUGCAGCAACGCCGCGUGCGGGAUGACGGCCUCGG
rnacentral:rRNA from 1 species